UACGUAGGGGGGCAAGCGUUUGUCCGGAUUUAUUGGGCGUAAAGAGCUCGUAGGCGGUUGGGCAAGUCACGUGUGAAAUCUCCACGCUCAACGUGGAGGCGCCACGUGAGACUGCCCUGACUCGAGUCCGGUAGGGGAGCGUGGAAUUCCCGGUGUAGCGGUGAAAUGCGCAGAUAUCGGGAAGAACACCCGUGGCGAAGGCGGCUCUCUGGGACGGUACUGACGCUGAGGCGCGAAAGCGUGGGGAGCGAACGAGG
rnacentral:rRNA from 1 species